GCGCCACCUCCUAUCACCACAAGCGCCAACCCCUUUCCGUGCCCUCUUCGACCUCUUGGCACCCUCGCUCCCUCUUCAAGUUCUUGGCGCCGCCCUCGACCCUCCCUACAAGCCCCGCAACCCUAUCAGCGCCGCCCCCAUACCUUCCCCUUUCCGUCCCCUCUUCGAUCUCUUGGCACCCCCACUCCCUCUUCAAGCUCUCGGCGUCGCCCUGCAACCCUCCCUGCAAGCCCCGCAACCCUAUCAACGCCGCCCCCCAUCGCCACGCCAUGACUUCCCCUUUCCGUCCCCUCUUCGAGCUCUCGGCACCCCCACUCCCUCUUCGAGCUCUCGGCACCCCCACUCCCUCUUCGAGCUCUCGGCGCCGCCCCCGAGACAUGCCCAAAAUUUCCUCAUUGCAUCCCUUCGCCUCCUUCGUCAAACAGUAAAUCGAAUCUGGAUGUGAGGCGAUUGACUCCGACAAAUCGAUGUUCUCUUCGUAUCUUCACCUCGGCCCCCGACGCCGAGGCGACCCUUCACCCUGCCCUAAUAUCUUCUUCGCACUGCCCUAAUCUUCUUCACACGAUCUGCCCUACCAUGCCAAUCCGGCUCUUUUAGGAAUGUUGGUGGUGGCGUCGAGGUGAAGCUUCAGUUGAGGCGGCCUUGCAAGGAAUGGGAUUUCUUCCCAUUCGAGUAGGUUCUUGAUAAAAUUUUCCAUGAGCUCACAUCGUGCAUCUCGUUCUAUAAGCUCUAGGAUGAGUUACGCAAGGUGAUUCCUCUUGAUCAAAUUUUCUUCUUGUUAUCUUUAUAUAAAAGCAUAUCAAACUUUCCCUUAUUUAGGUGUUUGACAAAGUUUUUGGAAUCAUGAUUAAUGUGAUCAUCAAUAUUGAACCAAGAUGAAUUUAUGCUUGGACUUGUAUACUUAAUUUUGGUAGUUUUCUUGACAUCUAUUAGUGGAUGAAGAUGUUUGACUAGCUUGCCUCCAUGUUCUACUAGAAGCUAUUGAAUUAUCGAUUGUAUGCUCAUUUUAAUUGUUGAACAUUUACUUUUCUUUUGGGUGUAUCUAUGAGAGAUGUCAAUCUCUUCUCAUCAUAUAAAUACAUAGAGUUUAUCCAUCCAUUGAGCCACCAUUUUCUUCUCACUCACAAUUUAAGAGGUAAUGUUUCUCUUCCCUCUAUAAAUACGUACCUUAUUGUGAUACUAAUACCAUGACAUAGACUUUUGGGGCUUUCGCUAUCCCGUCCUUAGAAAAGUUACUAGAUUUUCUCUUCUUCUUUAAAACUUACCACAAAAGUUAUCAAAAUUCAAAAGCCACAGUCAUUCUUUUUCUAAGUUGAUAACAAUUAUAUAUAUGUAAAUGCAUCUUCAUUUCACUAUGUUCUUUUCUAUUAGUUGUUUAUACAUAAAGCCAAAUUAAUUCAAAGAAUCUUUAUCUUUUCUCUUAUUCACCUCUCAAUCCUUUAUAUAUCUAAUAUUACUUAAGUCUCUUUAUUUUCCUUUCCGAACUCUACAAUCCAACAAUAACUUUUUUCUUUUCCUUAGUUCUUAACUUUUUAUAAAACUUAACAAAUGCUUUUAGCCUUUGUUGUACCUAUCAAUGUUGUUUGCCUCAAUUUUAGUUCCUUUAUACAUAUUCAUAGUUUCUUAAUUUGUACAACUUUAAGAUUAUUUUAAACAUGUCUUCUUUAAACUAAUAGUCUUUUGUACUCCCUUAUACCACAACUGACUUUUUUUUAUAUAAGUUUCACCUCUCUACCUUUAGAGAUGUGGUAUUGGUAGCGGUAUUGGGAAUGAUGUUUGUAAAAUUAGAUUGCUAGAGGUGGCAUUGGUAGAGGUAUUGGGAAUGAUGUUGGCGGCAAUAGUAAUAUCAAUCGUGGAAAAAAAAAGUGGUAAUGUCCAUAAUGUUAACCAACAUCUAAAUUUCAAUUUUUUGACCCAAUCUUAAUUUUAUCACUAUAAACUUAAUGUAUCUUAUGGUGCAUGUUGCAGAUCAAGUAAAUCCAGAAAAUAACAUUCCUAUCUCCCAGAGGCUAUAUGCUAAACCUAGUGACAACAAAGUUGAUUUUUUAAUUACUUUGGUAGUGUCAACAUUCCUUUACAUGGUAGUUACUGAUUUUUCUUAUUUAUAUGAUCAUAUUUGUUUUUAUUAUAUUCGAUGUCAAUUCAGUCAUUUUUUAAGACUUAUGUUUCAACCAUAUGGGUGUAUGAAGCUUUAAUCUAAUCCCAUCAAUCUUUUGCAUGAAGGAUGUCAAAAUAUCUAAAACCAUGUACUUGAAUUAAUUAAAGUUAGAAAAAAUCAUUGCUAGAAUAAGACAUGUUCUUAUAAUGGGGCUCUAUCACCUAUAUUAGGUGUUAAUUGGAGAUCUUUCCACCAGUUCUCCUUUUUGGUAAACUUUGGUACGCUGUGGUAGUUCAAGAUAUUGAAUUAUGAUCAAGUGCACUAGAAUAUAGAAAUGUAUUAGAAAUUCGUGCUAUUGGUUUUUAUAGUUGGAUUUAAUAAUUUAGUAACUCUACUAUGCUCUGAUUGUAUUUACACCGCUUGAUGUUAACAUAGAUAAUGUUACCAAGUAUAUCUUGUUUCCAGAAACUCAUAUAUUGCAUAGCUUGUCAACAUUAUUAUCUCUAGAAGGGUUCUUGGAGAUAGUUUCUAAAAACAAGAUUCAUCUGGCUGUCAAAAAUGCAAAUUAUGACAAAGUUCGUGGAGAUGAACCCUGAAGAUUACAUCAAUUUUCUUUCAACUCUAGGACCUCAGGCUCCUCCUUGGCUUAUACUAAUCAAAGGUAAGAUAUUGUUGGACAAGCUUUUGGAAGUGGAGUGAGGAUGCCUUCAUUAAGACCUUCUGAUUCUUCAAAGGAUAUUCUUAAUUAUAUUGUACUGUCUUUUAUUAUAUUUCUUUGAUUGUUAGUUAUUCAAAGUUUUUUGUAAAACAUUUGGAGUUGAUUUAUAAAGAUUUGUGAGCUUUGUAAAAUGAUUAUUAGAUGAAUAAGUGUUGUAUGAAUUGUGAUUA